UUCCGGCGGUAUUGGCCGAUAUGACGGAUGACGACGAUACUUGUACAAUUGCGGUUUAAUUUUCACGUAGCGGUGUUUUUUUCGAGUUUCGUGUUUUUUCUUGUUGUUGUUUUGUGCGUGCAUUUUGUGUGUAUGGCCACGGUCGAAUGCGCAUGCGAGUAAAGUCAAAUAAACAAAUAAUUUAACAACAAGAAGCGGCAACGACUCGAGCAUCAGUCAGUCAAUCGGGCUGUCAGUCAGUCAGGCAGGCAGAUGAACAGUUGAGCCGGGCCGGUCGGUGGUGGCAGUAAAUGACAAAAAAGUGCAAGCAGCAAGCGAAGUUAAAGUGAAGCAAAGCAAAAGUGGUAAAAAAAAAUCUGUGACAGUUAGUGCAAAAGAAGUGAACGAAAAAAAGGAGCAAACGAAGUGAGCGAAAAGGGAGCAAAAAGCGAGUUUAAAAAAGUGAACAAAGAAGUUUUAAAAGAAGUAUUAAGAAAGUCAGAAAAAACGGGAGCAAAAAGGGGAGUGAAAAAGAGGAGCAAAAAAUGUGAGAAAAAUUUUUCCAACAAAAAAAUAUGCAAAAAAGUGACAGUUGUGAUGAGUGAAGCAAGCAAAUGUCUGUGAAGUGAUUGUCGUUAUACAUAUGUAUGUAUGUAUGGAGACAAGAAAAGCAAGAACAACAAAAACGAAACAAACAGCAAGCAGCAGCAUUUGCUAACUGCACUUUGUCGCAUUGACAGUUAAUUUGCUGUGGAGCGCCGCAAGUGUGGCCAACAGCGAUCAAAAGUACCAGCAGCAGCAAAAGAAUAACAAAAAAGCAGCAACAAAAGCUUUAGGAAUCCUUUAAUGGUUGCUGCUCGCUUGCGCAAAAAAAUUUCCAAGCUUUUCUCUACCUUCCCCCUCUCCCCUCAUUGUCAAGCGAGCUGGUUGUGUUGCCACGCCCCGAGUUAACUGUUCGAUAUCAAAAAGCAAAACCGCUGAGAACCAACAGCCGCCUGGCCUCUUAGCGGCCCAUUAGUGACUACAACAACAACAACACUCCAUUGCAACUAGCCAAAAACCAGACAGAAAAAGAAACGAUAGCAACAACAACAAUAGCCAAGAGUUGCACUAACUGCAUCCGACGUCGCUGCGCCAUCAGCUCAACCUCAGCUGUCAUUAGUUGACGUUUUAAUUGCGGCUUCGAUUUGCUGCUUUGCAAUUUGCAUUCAAACUCGGCAAGACAAUAGCCGCAAACUGUGUGCAACAACAA